rnacentral:sRNA from 1 species
GAAGUCCUCCUCCUCCCAAACUUCCUUGCAGCGACCAUCGGCACUCCUCCUCCCAAGCCGCUGGUCAUGAUCGAAGCCCGGCGCAAUCCUCCCGCGCCGGGCUUUU